rnacentral:rRNA from 1 species
CCUACGGGAGUCAGCAGUAAGGAAUAUUGGUCAAUGGACGAAAGUCUGAACCAGCCAUGCCGCGUGAAGGAUGAAGGUCCUCUGGAUUGUAAACUUCUUUUAUCUGGGACGAAAAAAGGCGAUUCUUCGUCACUUGACGGUACCAGAGGAAUAAGCACCGGCUAACUCCGUGCCAGCAGCCGCGGUAAUACGGAGGGUGCAAGCGUUAUCCGGAUUCACUGGGUUUAAAGGGAGCGUAGGUGGGCAGGUAAGUCAGUGGUGAAAUCUUUGGGCUUAACCCGAAAACUGCCAUUGAUACUAUUUGUCUUGAAUAUUCUGGAGGUAAGCGGAAUAUGUCAUGUAGCGGUGAAAUGCUUAGAUAUGACAUAGAACACCCAUUGNGAAGGCAGCUUACUACGGAACUAUUGACACUGAGGCUACGAAAGCGGUGGGGAUCAAACAGGAUUAGAUACCCUGGUAGUCCACGACCCUAAACGAUGGAUACUCGACAUCAGCGAUACACUGUUGGUGUCUGAGACGAAGACAUUAAGUAUACCCACCUACGGAAGGUACGACCGACCGAACGGUUAGUAAACGUUAAAGUUAAGUAAGUUAGUACGGACGUGAGACGUAGACCGAACGGACGACCGACCGAGGGGAGGUUAGGGAG